rnacentral:rRNA from 1 species
GAGCACGUAGGUGGGUUUGUAAGUCAGAUGUGAAAGCCUUCUGUUCAACGGAAGAAUUGCAUCUGAAACUGCGAGUCUUGAGUGUAGGAGGGGGGAAUGGAACUUCUGGUGGAGCGGUGAAAUGCGUAGAUAUCAGAAGGAACGCCGGCGGCGAAAGCGAUACUCUGGCCUAUUACUGACACUCAGUGUGCGAAAGCUAGGGGAGCAAACGGGAUUGGAUACCCCGGUAGUCCUAGCCGUAAACGAUGGGCACUAAGUAGAGGGGUUUU